UAGGGAAUCUUCCACAAUGGACGCAAGUCUGAUGGAGCAACGCCGCGUGAGUGAAGAAGGUCUUCGGAUCGUAAAGCUCUGUUGUUGGUGAAGAAGGAUAGAGGCAGUAACUGGUCUUUUUUGACGUAU
rnacentral:rRNA from 1 species